rnacentral:rRNA from 1 species
CCUACGGGGUGCUGCAGUGGGGAAUAUUGGACAAUGGGCGAAAGCCUGAUCCAGCCAUGCCGCGUGUGUGAAGAAGGCCUUCGGGUUGUAAAGCACUUUCAGUGGGGAAGAAAGCCUUGGGGCUAAUACCCUCGAGGAAGGACAUCACCCACAGAAGAAGCACCGGCUAACUCCGUGCCAGCAGCCGCGGUAAUACGGAGGGUGCGAGCGUUAAUCGGAAUUACUGGGCGUAAAGCGCGCGUAGGCGGUCUGAUAAGCCGGUUGUGAAAGCCCCGGGCUCAACCUGGGAACGGCAUCCGGAACUGUCAGGCUAGAGGGCAGGAGAGGAAGGUAGAAUUCCCGGUGUAGCGGUGAAAUGCGUAGAGAUCGGGAGGAAUACCAGUGGCGAAGGCGGCCUUCUGGACUGACACUGACGCUGAGGUGCGAAAGCGUGGGUAGCAAACAGGAUUAGAUACCCGAGUAGUC